AGGAAUAUUGGUCAAUGGGCGGAAGCCUGAACCAGCCAAGUAGCGUGAAGGAUGACUGCCCUAUGGGUUGUAAACUUCUUUUAUACGGGAAUAAAGUGAGGCACGUGUGCCUUUUUGUAUGUACCGUAUGAAUAAGGAUCGGCUAACUCCGUGCCAGCAGCCGCGGUAAUACGGAGGAUCCGAGCGUUAUCCGGAUUUAUUGGGUUUAAAGGGAGCGUAGGCGGACGCUUAAGUCAGUUGUGAAAGUUUGCGGCUCAACCGUAAAAUUGCAGUUGAUACUGGGUGUCUUGAGUACAGUAGAGGCAGGCGGAAUUCGUGGUGUAGCGGUGAAAUGCUUAGAUAUCACGAAGAACUCCGAUUGCGAAGGCAGCUUGCUGGACUGUAACUGACGCUGAUGCUCGAAAGUGUGGGUAUCAAACAGGAUUAGAUACCCUGGUAGUCCACACAGUAAACGAUGAAUACUCGCUGUUUGCGAUAUACAGUAAGCGGCCAAGCGAAAGCGUUAAGUAUUCCACCUGGGGAGUACGCCGGCAACGGUGAAACUCAAAGGAAUUGACGGGGGCCCGCACAAGCGGAGGAACAUGUGGUUUAAUUCGAUGAUACGCGAGGAACCUUACCCGGGCUUGAAUUGCAACUGAAUGAUGUGGAGACAUGUCAGCCGCAAGGCAGUUGUAAAGGUGCUGCAUGGUUGUCGUCAGCUCGUGCCGUGAGGUGUCGGCUUAAGUGCCAUAACGAGCGCAACCCCUAUCUACAGUUGCUAACAGGUGAUGCUGAGGACUCUGUGGAGACUGCCGGCGCAAGCUGUGAGGAAGGCGGGGAUGACGUCAAAUCAGCACGGCCCUUACGUCCGGGGCGACACACGUGUUACAAUGGCAGGUACAGCGGGAAGCCACUUGGCGACAAGGAGCGGAACCCGAAAACCUGUCUCAGUUCGGAUUGGAGUCUGCAACCCGACUCCAUGAAGCUGGAUUCGCUAGUAAUCGCGCAUCAGCCACGGCGCGGUGAAUACGUUCCCG
rnacentral:rRNA from 1 species